UACGAAGGGGGCUAGCGUUGUUCGGAAUUACUGGGCGUAAAGGGCGCGCAGGCUGUGCUGUAAGUCAGGCGUGAAAGCCCCGGGCUCAACCUGGGAAUUGCGCUUGAUACUGCGGCGCUGGAAGGUGGGAGAGGAUGGCGGAAUUCCCAGUGUAGAGGUGAAAUUCGUAGAUAUUGGGAAGAACACCGGUGGCGAAGGCGGCCAUCUGGCCCACAUUUGACGCUGAGGCGCGAAAGCGUGGGGAGCAAACAGG
rnacentral:rRNA from 1 species